UACGAAGGGGGCUAGCGUUGCUCGGAAUCACUGGGCGUAAAGGGUGCGUAGGCGGGUCUUUAAGUUAGGGGUGAAAUCCUGGAGCUCAACUCCAGAACUGCCUUUGAUACUGAGGAUCUUGAGUUCGGGAGAGGUGAGUGGAACUGCGAGUGUAGAGGUGAAAUUCGUAGAUAUUCGCAAGAACACCAGUGGCGAAGGCGGCUCACUGGCCUGAUACUGACGCUGAGGCACGAAAGCGUGGGGAGCAAGCAGG
rnacentral:rRNA from 1 species